rnacentral:rRNA from 1 species
AUACGUAGGUGGCAAGCGUUGUCGGGAUUUAUUGGGUUUAAAGGGUGCGUAGGCGGUCUUUUAAGUCAGUGGUGAAAUACUUCAGCUUAACUGGAGAGGUGCCAUUGAUACUGGGAGACUUGAGUACUGAUGAGGUAGGCGGAAUGGACGGUGUAGCGGUGAAAUGCUCAGAUAUCGUCCAGAACACCGAUAGCGAAGGCAGCUUACUAAGGAGUAACUGACGCUGAGGCACGAAAGUGUGGGGAUCAAACAG